AGAGAGGCUCCAACAUUCUGGUUGAGAGUGGUCAACAGAACCAAGGCCAGCUGGAUCUCCUCCAUGGCCAGCUCUGCAGGCACUCCUUUGUACAGGGUUGGAAAUCAAGAUGGAAAAUUCCACAUGAGUACCAACAUCUCCACUCUCUUUCUCCAAAUCAAACGAGUGGAUGUAUUUGACUCUGGACUGUAUUUAUGUGGAUUUUACAUCGGAGGACGUUUAAUUCAGCACAAUACACUUCAAUGUUAAAGGUAGCGAUAAAUCUCAUGAUGAUGACGACAGGAAGUCUGAAAAGUGUGAUGGAACAGUAACGCUGAUGAGUUUGGUCCUGGGCGCUCUGACUGGUCUCCUCUUCAUGAUCAUCAUCGGUCUGGUUGUUA